GGUGACAUUUUAAAGUUUGAUUGGCAUGGACUAUCGGAAUGAAGAUGACUGCAGGAAUGGUUUGUUUGAUUAUUGGCCUAUCAAACAUUUUCCAGUCAUUUGAUGAUGCCACCACUUGGGAUAGUAAGCUGCAAAUACAGACUUGUACUCAGCACUUAUUGCCUUUGAGAAGUAAGGGAUCCUUUUGACACUGAAUCUCGGUGUAUGCGGUCUCAUUGGAGUAACCCGUCUGAAGCAUUUAGCAAUGGGAUUGGAACCUGUGAUGUUUGAUGCAGUGAAUAAUCAAAGUACUCAGAAGUACUGAAAGCUGGGCUCAUUUACAGGGUAAUGAACAAAGACCGUGAUGAGAGUUUAAAAACAAAUUCAGACAUUGAGAGGAUAUGUUAUCCACAAAAAUAUCUCUAUGGCAUAUAUAUAGUAUUAAAAAGUUUUAAAAUUAAAUAAAAUUAUUAUAGAAUUUAACAGCAAAAAAUAUUCAUCACAUGUAUCGUUUGAGGCGGUUUCAGGGAUUUAUAUACCAACAGAAGUAAAUAAACACUAAUGCAGCAAGAUUAAUUAAGGUCAAACGAUUAUGCACUGAUGUGUCCUCAGCUGAGAAUUUGCAUCAAAGCGUACAUCAAGUAAUUAAUGAUGUUUACCGCAUUUGUGUUAGACUGACAAUACAACCUUUAUUUAUAGAAUAUGGCGCACACAUCCAUAGUGAUGAAAACCUUUUGCAUAUUUUAAACAAAUAAUUAAUUGAAGAAGACUGUAGAAAGUACAUUAUUAUAAUUAUUUUUUGACAAUUUCUGAUAACUUUGAAAAUUUAAUUCUGUAAUCAGUGUUUGUAUUGCCUCAAAUUUGAUUGCGCAAAUGUACUAUAUUUUAAUGUGUAAAUUUGAUUAAGCAUCAGUGAUGAAGCAGCAUUUCCUGUUGAACUUCGUAGCAAUGAGUCCGGCUAGAAAUCAAGCUAAACUUCAGGAUUAUAUAAAGGGAAUGCCCUACCACUAGGCUACCAUUUUUAAGACAAAGAUGUAUUUUGGUUAUAUAGGAAAAAAUGCUUUGGCAAACACUUAUAAUGAA